AUUGAACGCUGGCGGCAGGCCUAACACAUGCAAGUCGAGCGGCAGCGGGACCUUCGGGUUGCGGCGAGCGGCGGACGGGUGAGUAAUGCCUAGGAAUCUGCCUGUUAGUGGGGGAUAACGCGGGGAAACUCGCGCUAAUACCGCAUACGUCCUACGGGAGAAAGCGGGGGCUCUUCGGACCUCGCGCUAACAGAUGAGCCUAGGUCGGAUUAGCUAGUUGGUGGGGUAAUGGCCCACAAAGGCGACGAUCCGUAACUGGUCUGAGAGGAUGAUCAGUCACACUGGAACUGAGACACGGUCCAGACUCCUACGGGAGGCAGCAGUGGGGAAUAUUGGACAAUGGGCGAAAGCCUGAUCCAGCCAUGCCGCGUGUGUGAAGAAGGUCUUCGGAUUGUAAAGCACUUUAAGUCGGGAGGAAGGGCUGUAGGCUAAUACCUUGCAGUUUUGACGUUACCGACAGAAUAAGCACCGGCUAACUUCGUGCCAGCCGCCGCUGUAA
rnacentral:rRNA from 1 species